rnacentral:lncRNA from 1 species
GGGUGGCCAGAGGAGGGAGUGAGCAGGGCUGCUUCUCCAGGCCCCUCCCGUUCCCGGCCCAGCCCGUCUCACCGGCCACCACACCAUGCUGCGUCCUGCCAGGAAGUAGCCGCCCACAGUGCCUCUGUUGGUUCUGCACAUGGACUGGGAGACAGAGGCGGGGGAGACCUGGGUUUAGGGCACAGCCUUGGACCUCAUCAGCCACCUCAACACAUUCCUCAGCCUUGUUUCUGGCUGAAGAUUAACGAGCCAAGUUUCCCUGAUCGUUUGCACUCCCACCCCCAACUCCUCCCAGACACUCAGGGCAACCCAGGCUCUAAUCCCAGUGUCCUAUUCCCCCAGUUUUUUUCACAUAUUUUUUCUUUUUCUUUCUUUUUUUUUUUUUCUCAUUUUUUGAGACAGAGUCUUGCUCUUGUUGCCCAGGCUGGAGUGCAGUGGUGUGAUUUUGGCUCACUACAACCUCCACCUCCCAGGUUCAAGCAAUUCUCAUGCCUCAGCCUCCAAAGUAGCUGGGAUUAUAGGCACACGCCACUAUACCCAGCUUUUUGUGUGUGUGUGCGUGUGUGUGUGUGUGUGUGUGUGUGUGUGUAUUUUAGUAGAGACAGGGUUUCACCAUGUUGGCCAGGCUGGCCUUGAACUCCUGGCUUCAAGCAAUUCACCUGCCUCAGCCUCCCAAAGUACUGAGGCAUGAACCACCGCACCCAGCCCCACAUCUGUCUUUCUUUUUAGAGACAAGGUCUCGCUCUGUCUCCUAGGCUGGAGUGCAGUGACAUGAUCAUAGCUCACUGCAGCCUUGAACUCCUGGGCUCAAGCAAUCUUCCCACCUUGGCCUCCGAGUAGUUGUGACUACAGGCACACACACCACCAUGCCUGACUAAUUUUUCCUUUCUUUCUUUUUUUUUCUUUUUUCUUUUUAAGAAACAAGGUCUCAUCCAGCCACUAGUUCCAUCCCAACUCCCCAGGAUUUAUCAUUUGUGGAUUUGGCUUGACCUUCCUGGGGACCUUGAAUAUUUUCUGCUGGUCAGCCACAAUGUGGCCAGGGGAAUGAGACCCCAUUUAGAAUGUCGACCCUGAUGAAAAUCCGCGGACCCCUUCAGCUAGCACAGUCCCAAAGUGGGAAGACAAGGGAGGAAUGUUGGCUGGGUCUCCCUGAGAACUUCCAAAGACCUGCUUGCCCCCAGGCCUAGGUUUCUCCUUCAAAGAUCCAAGCAUCAUUCUCCCACCUAGGGUCCCCCUGAGACUUUUCCCCCAGGCCCCCAAAGCCAGCAGCCACCAGCAGCACACCCCCCAACUUCUCACCCACAAGCCAACGCCAAUGACCAGCAGGAAAUAUGCAGCAAUGACUAGGAUGUCAGCAGGAUUGUCAAUCAGGGCCUUCUGGGCCCCCAUCUCUGGUGCCGAGCCUGCCUCUGUGUGCUCCUCCAUUCUCCCCAGGAUCUGCCCCAUCCAGGAACCAGCCCCUGGAUUCCCCCAGGGGAAGGAUUAAUGGUUACCUCAGGGGCACUGAGCCGACAAGUCCCCCAGGUCUCAUUCCCGCUCCCCAGCUUUGUUUAGCUGAAUCAGGUCAUAUCAAGGCUGAAGGCUGGUCUUGGGGAGCUGGGCCCUUCCAAGUUCAAGAGCACUCUUUCCUGGGCCUUAGCAUCCGCCCUCUCCCCUGUGCUCCAGGCUCAAAAUCACUCUUUUACUCCCUAAAAAUGCAUCGCUUCCUUAGCUAAGCUAGCACCCCUGGAUUUAACUAAUCCAGAGGAAUCAUUUUCAAAUCCAAGUCUGACAGGGUCACUCGCCCUCCUCAGGAACCCUCCAUAGCUCUUAGUACAAGCUCUUCAGCCUGAUUUCCAAUCCUGGUCAUGCCCCAAUUCCCGCUCAUCCUUCCCCCUGCUUCUCCAAACCAAAUCUAGAGGAAAUCAGAAAUCCUUUCCCACUCCUUUAACCUACCCAGCCCAGAUUUUUGCUUUUUGCUUUUUUUGACCAGAUAUUUUAUCCCCACCAAAUCCUUGCACAAACUGUGUCUUCUGUUUAGAGCACUUCCCUGUCUCCCAAAUGGCCAACUCCUACUCAGCUUUCAGUACCCAGCCUGUGUCGCCUCUUCAAGAAAGACUUCUCUGACAUUUCUGAUGUAGUUCUGAGCACACUGUGUGGCCCUUGCCUGGGUCCAGGUCUGUCUUCCCAACAAACUAGUGUCUCCUCAAGAGUAGGACUGGCUGGGUGUGGGGGCUCAUGCCUGUAAUCCUAGCACUUUGGGAGGCUGCAGCAGGAGGCUCACUUGAGCUCAGGAGUUUGAAACCAGCCUGGGCAGCGGAGUGAGACCUCAUCUCUUAAAAAAUAAAUAAAUAAAAAUUAAAAAGAGCAGGACUGAUCUGAUUCAUCCCUGG